UGAAAUGCUGUAUAAAAAUGAAGAAAUAUAAUGGCUAAAGGAUGAGAAUAGAAGAGAUUUUGUUUAAAAUAUUUUAGAAGUAAUUGCUCUUUAGUGUGUAUGUAUGUAUGUGUGCAUCAUGCAUGCGUCUCUCUUCAGAAGGAAUCUGAAGUUACUUCUCCCAUGCUGUUUUAAGAAAAGCCAGGCAAGUGACAUAUACCUGUAGUCCCAGGAGUUGGGUAGCUGAGACAGUAGGAUCAGGAAUUUGGGGCUAGCCUGUCCUAUAGAGCCAGACACAGUCUUGAAAAAAAAAAAAUCAUACACACACACACACACAUUAAUUGUGUGUUUUGUCUGCAUGUAUGUAUGUGCACUAUUUCUUUGCCUGGUUCCAGCAGAACUCAGAUGAGGGUGUCAGAUUCCCUGGGACUGUUAAAGAGGGUUGUGAUCAAACUGUGGGUGCGGGGGGGGGGGACGGACGGACGGGGGACCUGGGUGAGUUCAGUCUCUCUUUUGUGUUUGAAACAGGGUCUCAUAUACCCCAUAUAGGCUGGCCUCUAGUUCAGUGUGUAGUUGAGGAAAACCUUGAUUUAUUUGUGCCCACUUCCCAAGCACUGUGAGUUCAGGUGUAUGCCACCAUGACCUGCUAGAAAUCCUAUUUUAAAAGUUGUUUAAUUCUUGCUUUCUGUGAAAGCAAACAUAUUUAAACUCCCUUAUGAGGACUAGAAGUGAGACUUAUGCAGGACUACAGACCGGUAGUUGAUUUAUAUCUCAAUUACAGUUCUGCUCUUGUUUUUUUAUGCUGGCAGGUUAUAACAAAACAAUAGGCAAAAUGGAACUUAGAAAAAAAUCAAAUGUGAGUGUUUAAUGCCAAAUGAUUGCAUUGUAUUGCAUUGUGGCUGGCAUUUUGUGAGAUGAAAAAGAAUUACACUUAUAAAAUAAUUUUACU
rnacentral:lncRNA from 1 species